AUUUCUGAAACCAGAAAAUAAUGACUUAUCAUUUUGACUUUUGUAUUUAUUAACUCAUUUGUAUACAUUGUUUAUUGAAGUACUCAUAUGUUUAGCCUUCGUUAUAUUAUAACCGUUACAAACUAAAUUUGUACUUUUUAUCGCUCAAAAAUAUCAUUUUAAAAUUAUAAUCAUGAAUAAUUAACUUACUUCAUUUUUCCUACGUUAUUAAUUAAUAAUAUUAACCAAGAAUAACGAAAUACAUGUCAAAAAUACUGUUUAAGAAUACUAACCGUUGAUACAUUAUUAUUAAAGUAUUCGUAUGUUACAAAUGCAACAAAUUAACACAACUGAUGAUUGAAUGUAAUUAUGUGUGUAAAUGCACUCAUUGUAUAACAGCUGUUGGCUUCAGUUCAAUUGUUAUCAAUAAUUUUUUACCGAUAACUGUUAGUAGUCGAUAAAUAGUGACUGGACUAGAUUGUCCGAUUCUCCAGGCACGUUCUCUGGCCUGUAAAUCAGUAGCUGGGUUCCAAUCUGGAUCAUAAAUUAUAACACGAUCAGCACCAAUAAGAUUUACACCUAAUCCACCAACUUUAGUUCUUAUUUAUGGCCAUUUCCUCAAAGGAAAGGUUUCUUAACAAUAAAUAGGAUGGGUGGAUAAUCUGUCACUAGAAAGAGGUUUGGUGACUCCAAUUACUGAAUUGACUAUUUGAAAAUGGAAUUACCAGUGAUAGAGUCUCAAACCCAAGAAAAUGUGCACCAAGUAGUGCUGUGUUACAGAAUCGACCACUAAGUCUCACAAAAUUAAAAUUAUCAUUUAAAAAUAUUUACAUAAUUAGAAUAAUAUAUUGAAACAAACCUUAACA